AAAAGGAAAAUAGAUCAGGCCAUUAAGUCUUGGACUUUGUGGAGCCGGGCCGGUUUUGCGGCAGCAGGAUGGCAAUUAUUGCAGAAAUACCUGUGGGACUAUA
rnacentral:ncRNA from 2 species